AUACGUAUAUGCAUAUAUAUAUAUAUAUAUAUAUAUAUGCAUAUGUAUGUAUGUAUAUGCAUACUGUAUAUAUAUAUGUGUGUGUGUGU